GGAAGGCAUCAUUUAACAACGUCUGUGCAGGUAAGAACUUCAUGGAUAAACUUCUUAAAAAUGUGUUUCACUCCUCAAAGUGAAUUCAGUUCUUCAUAAGUUUCAUGAGGAUUGUCCUUGGACUAUAAUAGAUAUUGUUAUAUUUGUUUUAUAUAUCAUAUUUAUAAGGUUUAUUACCUCAUAAACAUCUUUUGAUAAAAGAUAAAAGUGGAGCAUUUUAGCUUUGAGCAUAAAUAAAUUCAAAAUGGUAGCUUUGGAAUAAGUUCAGCCAUUUCUAUUGAUGGAGUAGGUUUGUUUUUUUAGGUUUACAGCACAACAUAAUCCAUACUCAGGAUAAAUGGAGACAUGAGACAUUUUUGGACAGGCUGUAUUAUCGAAGCAGUUAUCUUUACACUCUUUCUAAAUGUUUGAGGAGGUACAACAUCCUGAAAUUCAGAUACACGUUUGCGACCAGACUAAGGUUGUCUUUAUAGCGGCUCAUCAAAUGGCUGCUGCAGAUUUGCGACACCAUCUUUGAAAUUAACUAUUUAUUUGCGGACACGAAACAUCUAUGAAAAUAUGGAGAGCGAGAGCCGGAACCAAACUACUGAACCAAACUUCCUGGAUAUCAAACCAAUUCUGGGUUUGAUAUGUACCUGCUUAUUUUAAAUAUACGGAAGUUCAGUAACUUUUAGUGUUAUUUUAAGAUAUAACCGCUAUGCUGUGUACACUACUGGGAGGAAACGACGAG